UACGGAGGGAGCUAGCGUUGUUCGGAAUUACUGGGCGUAAAGCGCACGUAGGCGGCUUUUUAAGUCAGGGGUGAAAUCCCGGGGCUCAACCCCGGAACUGCCUUUGAAAACUGGAGAGCUAGAAUCUUGGAGAGGCGAGUGGAAUUCCGAGUGUAGAGGUGAAAUUCGUAGAUAUUCGGAAGAACACCAGUGGCGAAGGCGACUCGCUGGACAAGUAUUGACGCUGAGGUGCGAAAGCGUGGGGAGCAAACAGGAUUAGAAAACCCCGUUGUAC
rnacentral:rRNA from 1 species